rnacentral:tRNA from 1 species
UCCCUGGUGGCUCAAACAGUAAAGACUCUGCCUGCAAAGUGGGAGACCCAAGUUCGAUUCUUGGUUUGGGAA